UACGUAGGGUGCAAGCGUUGUCCGGAAUUAUUGGGCGUAAAGAGCUCGUAGGCGGUUUGUCGCGUCUGCUGUGAAAACUGGGGGCUCAACCCCCAGCCUGCAGUGGGUACGGGCAGACUAGAGUGCGGUAGGGGAGAUUGGAAUUCCUGGUGUAGCGGUGGAAUGCGCAGAUAUCAGGAGGAACACCGAUGGCGAAGGCAGGUCUCUGGGCCGCUACUGACGCUGAGAAGCGAAAGCAUGGGGAGCGAACAGG
rnacentral:rRNA from 1 species